AUCACAAAUUUAUAAAGCCUAGCAUAGUUUCGAAUGUAUCAUAGGCACUCAGUAAAUGUCUGAAUAAAUAAAUGAAAAAAUAAUGAAUUUUCUAUAAUUUGAAUAGAAGAAAAAUUGCACAAACAUCACACUAAAUAAUGUUGAGCUAAUAUUUUUAAGAAAACCUAUCACAUAGUAAACUUUUAAUAACUGUACAGUUUGGUUUUUUUUCCCAAUCUUCCUUUGCUCCCAAACUUACUAGCCAUGCCUUGUUACACAAUAAGUAGAAAAAAGAAAGUUAUAGAAACAGAUCAAUUUAAAAAAAAAAAAAAAACUCUCACAAAGAUGUGGAGAAAAGAUAUAAACUCCAAAAUCAAAACAAAGUAGCCUCUUAAGAUUAUCCAAGCCGGCCGCAUAGCUGAGAUUACAGGCAUGUACCACCAUGCCCGGCCCACAGAGUUUUCUCUUAAAUAAAUUUAAGUUUUAAAAAGAAGUCCAUUU
rnacentral:lncRNA from 1 species